CUCUGGACCAGGAAGAAAAGUAGGACCAAACCUCUAGAAACUCUUUUCAAUGAAAAGGAAAUAAAAUACUUCCCAGAAGACAUAAGUGCAUUUCCUUAAUCAGACUACCCCUCAGCCCUCAUUCGCCAGGACUGGGUCACAUACCCUUCCUGCAAAGAAGUCUGGGAAGACAAAACUUUUGUAUUUUCAGCCUCUAUUAUGGAAAGUGAUCUUCCAGCAAGAAAAUAAAGCAAAGAGCUAAGCAGUGGAAAAAUAAUCCAGAAUUUUGUGUAAGAGAAGAUAAGGCACAGGUUGAUUCAGAAAGAUUCACAAGAGUUAUUCCCAUAACAACCUUGGAAAUAAUUUACUGAACUAUCUUAUUGAGUGAAUGCAUUAUUUUGGAGCAGCAA
rnacentral:lncRNA from 1 species